rnacentral:rRNA from 1 species
CCUACGGGGGGCAGCAUUGAGGAAUAUUGGUCAAUGGACGAGAGUCUGAACCAGCCAAGUAGCGUGAAGGAUGACUGCCCUUUGGGUUGUAAACUUCUUUUAUAUGGGAAUAAAAUGUUCCACGUGUGGGAUUUUUUAUGUACCCUAUGAAUAAGGAUCGGCUAACUCCGUGCCAGCAGCCGCGGUAAUACGGAGGAUCCGAGCGUUAUCCGGAUUUAUUGGGUUUAAAGGGAGCGUAGGUGGAUUGUUAAGUCAGUUGUGAAAGUUUGCGGCUCAACCGUAAAAUUGCAGUUGAAACUGGCAGUCUGGAGUACAGUAGAGGUGGGCGGAAUUCGUGGUGUAGCGGUGAAAUGCUUAGAUAUCACGAAGAACUCCGAUUGCGAAGGCAGUUCACUGGACUGCAACUGACACUGAGGCUCGAAAGUGUGGGUAUCAAACAGGAUUAGAUACCCGAGUAGUC